GAUGAACGCUGGCGGCGUGCCUAACACAUGCAAGUCGAGCGAGAUAAAUGUGAGUGGAGACUUCGGUCGAAGCAAUCAUUUUGAAAGCGGCGGACGGGUGAGUAACGCGUGAGCAAUCUGCCCCAUACAAAGGGAUACCCACUGGAAACGGUGAUUAAUACCUUAUAAGACCACGAAGUCGCCUGGCUUCGUGGCCAAAGAUUUAUCGGUAUGGGAUGAGCUCGCGUCUGAUUAGCUAGUUGGUGAGGUAAUGGCUCACCAAGGCGACGAUCAGUAGCCGACCUGAGAGGGUGAACGGCCACACUGGAACUGAGACACGGUCCAGACUCCUACGGGAGGCAGCAGUGGGGAAUAUUGCACAAUGGGCGCAAGCCUGAUGCAGCAACGCCGCGUGAAUGAUGAAGGCCUUCGGGUCGUAAAGUUCUGUCCUAAGGGAAGAAUACAGUGACGGUACCUUAGGAGGAAGCCCCGGCUAACUACGUGCCAGCAGCCGCCGUAA
rnacentral:rRNA from 1 species